rnacentral:misc_RNA from 1 species
GAUGAAGAACGUAGCGAAAUGCGAUAAGUAAUGUGAAUUGCAGAAUUCAGUGAAUCAUCGAAUCUUUGAACGCACAUUGCGCCCGCCAGCAUUCUGGCGGGCAUGCCUGUUCGAGCGUCAUUUCAACCCUCGAGCCCCCCCGGGGGCCUCGGUGUUGGGGGACGGCACACCAGCCGCCCCCGAAAUGCAGUGGCGACCCCGCCGCAGCCUCCCCUGCGUAGUAGCACACACCUCGCACCGGAGCGCGGAGGCGGUCACGCCGUAAAACGCCCAACUUUCUUAGAGUUGACCUCGGAUCAGGUAGGAAUACCCGCUGAACUUAAGCAUAUCAAUAAGCGGAUGA